UACGUAGGGGGCAAGCGUUGUCCGGAUUUAUUGGGCGUAAAGAGCGUGUAGGCGGCCAGGUAGGUCCGCUGUGAAAACUCGAGGCUCAACCUCGAGAUGUCGGCGGAAACCAUCUGGCUAGAGUCCGGAAGAGGAGAGUGGAAUUCCUGGUGUAGCGGUGAAAUGCGCAGAUAUCAGGAAGAACACCCGUGGCGAAGGCGGUUCUCUGGGCCUGUACUGACGCUGAGGAGCGAAAGCGUGGGGAGCGAACAGG
rnacentral:rRNA from 1 species